AGGACGAACGCUGGCGGCGUGCUUAACACAUGCAAGUCGAGCGGAAAGGCCCUUCGGGGUACUCGAGCGGCGAACGGGUGAGUAACACGUGAGCAAUCUGCCCCUAGCUUCGGGAUAGCUCCGGGAAAACCGGAAUUAAUACCGAAUAUUACUACGGCCGACAUCGGCUGUGGUGGAAAGUUUUUCGGCUAGGGAUGAGCUCGCGGCCUAUCAGCUUGUUGGUGAGGUAACGGCUCACCAAGGCGACGACGGGUA
rnacentral:rRNA from 1 species